UACGUAGGGUGCAAGCGUUAAUCGGAAUUACUGGGCGUAAAGCGCGUGUAGGCGGCUUUGCAAGUCGGGUGUGAAAGCCCUCAGCUUAACUGAGGAAGUGCGCCCGAAACUGCUUGGCUUGAGUACCGGAGAGGAUGGCGGAAUUCCCCAAGUAGAGGUGAAAUUCGUAGAUAUGGGGAGGAACACCGGUGGCGAAGGCGGCCAUCUGGACGGAUACUGACGCUGAGACGCGAAAGCGUGGGGAGCAAACAGG
rnacentral:rRNA from 1 species